rnacentral:rRNA from 1 species
GAGUUUGAUCCUGGCUCAGGAUGAACGCUGGCGGUAUGCUUAACACAUGCAAGUCGAACGAUGUGGGGACGUAGCAAUGCUACGUCUGUGCAUAGUGGCGGACGGGUGAGUAACGCGUGAGAAUCUAGCUUCAGGUUCGGGACAACAUUGGGAAACCGAUGCUAAUACCGGAUGUGCCGAGAGGUGAAAGGCUAGCCGCCUGAAGAAGAGCUCGCGUCUGAUUAGCUAGUUGGUGGUGUAAGGGACUACCAAGGCGACGAUCAGUAGCUGGUCUGAGAGGAUGAUCAGCCACACUGGAACUGAGACACGGUCCAGACUCCUACGGGAGGCAGCAGUGGGGAAUUUUCCGCAAUGGGCGAAAGCCUGACGGAGCAAUACCGCGUGAGGGAGGAAGGCUCUUGGGUUGUAAACCUCUUUUCUCAAGGAAGAAGUUCUGACGGUACUUGAGGAAUCAGCAUCGGCUAACUCCGUGCCAGCAGCCGCGGUAAUACGGAGGAUGCAAGCGUUAUCCGGAAUGAUUGGGCGUAAAGCGUCCGCAGGUGGUUGUGUGUGUCUAUUGUCAAAGCAUCAUGCUUAACAUGAUAAAGGCAGUAGAAACUACACGACUAGAGUGCGUUCGGGGCAGAGGAAAUUCCUGGUGUAGCGGUGAAAUGCGUAGAGAUCAGGAAGAACACCGGUGGCGAAAGCGCUCUGCUAGGCCGCAACUGACACUGAGGGACGAAAGCUAGGGGAGCGAAUGGGAUUAGAUACCCCAGUAGUCCUAGCCGUAAACGAUGGAUACUAGGCGUUGAGAGUAUCGACCCUCUCAGUGCCGUAGCUAACGCGUUAAGUAUCCCGCCUGGGGAGUACGCACGCAAGUGUGAAACUCAAAGGAAUUGACGGGGGCCCGCACAAGCGGUGGAGUAUGUGGUUUAAUUCGAUGCACGCGAAGANCUUACCAGGCUUGACAUGUCUGGACUUCGUGAAAGCUGAAGGUGCCUUCGG